GGGGAGUACAUAGUCAAGAGAUUGAAGUUGAUUUGGUUGGGCUAGGUAGGGAUAAGUAAAGUUGGGGUCUCUUGACGUCUCGACGAAUGUUCUGCAUCUAGUUCUACCGCCAUCUUCCCGGUUUAAAGCUCCGGUGAGUGUGUGAAUCUUAUUUUGGCUUCCGGCGAUUAAAAGCAAAAGGUUCGAGUAUGGUACAUCGUCGGAGCGCCGUUGGAGAGAAGAUGGAAGCUUCACCGGUGAAAGUCCGAUUGCAAUCCUCAGAGACGGUGAUCUUCAUGAGGUCCAUUUAAUUUAUGACACGUGUUGUUUGCUGCUCUCGUUAAUACAUGUACUGUAAACGUGUCAAGUUAUGUUUUUUCUUCCGUUUGGGCUUUGUAGUUUGUACAAUGCUUACAGGUUGAGCUUAAUAUAAAAUUG
rnacentral:lncRNA from 1 species